GCCAGUAAUACCAGUAGACAGUGACAUACACUGGAAAGCACUGUAACUGCUUGCAUACUGAGUCUACAUGUGAUGGAAUGUUGAGAUUGUAAAUAUACUGAAUAAAAGGGAACUCCGCUGUUCAAGUAGAAGAGGAAACUGUUGACAAAACAGCAGUCUAUUGGUUUUCCCAAAAACUACACAAUGGAGAUCAAGAUAUUUUUUCUGCUAUCGCUCUAUAAAUGUAAGUAAAGCAUGACAUACCAAAGUAUAUUUUAUUUUAGUGUACUAUUUUAUUUAAAAUGUGCCUACAAAAUGAUUUUAAGAUACACCGGAACAUAUGCACACGUAUCCUCGAGGUAUACAGGUAAAGGUUAACAGGACACAUGCUGUAAAAUUGACUUAAACAAUCUUUAGAAAUUAGAAAAAUAUAUAAUUAUAAGGUUAAAGUAGACAGAAAAAGGACACGUAUAGCACAUAACAGGUAAAUACAACGUACAUCAGUAAUGAACAUUGCAGUGAAAACUUUAAAAUAUUACAUAUUAUGUAGAUGACUUUUAAUUUUUGAUAUUUUCUGGAAAUUAACUUAGACACUGUGUUUGUACUAUUUACUGCACAUUCCAUUUUUGGAAUUUAAAAUUAGAUUUCUGCCAGAUUAAUAACUAUAAAUACAUUUUCUGUUUAUUAUAUGUACAAUGAAAAAAUAAAUAUAUGACUAUUUAGAAUUGCAUAAAAAUAAGACUCUGCAAAAAUAUACCCACUUUUUAAAAAAAAAUAAAGUAGACCUGUUUAUUAUUUUUUUGUUCAAAACUUGUAGCACCAGUGCUAAUUAUAUUAUUCGUCAAUAACAAUCAAUAUUUUUCUAACCUAUGUGCUCAGUUAUACGUAGGCUAGAAAUCCAUUUGAUUCAGAAAGACUUUUUGCUAUUACUUUGCAAACAUUGUUUAACACUUUUUAUUGUUAUAGCAUUUAGCUAUAUGUGUAUCAUAUAAUACAUUAACUGAGUGUAUGCAGGGUUUUGUUUUACAAAAAAAAAUAAAGACUCAGAUGUACAAGUCAUUUCUACAAAUAGUAAUCUCACUAAACUGUGCAGAUAUUUUCAUUGUUGCAUUAAAAGGUAUGUGCUCGUUCACAUUAAAAAGUUUGACACAUAUACAUAAAUGUAUAUAAAGAAUAAAAUAAUAAAAAUAACUACAGACUCUGUAAACAUACGUUAAGGAAUACAUUACCAGUUUAUAAUAUCCUGUAAUCUAUAUAAAAUAUUUUUAUUUUCUUGCCUACAAUUAAGUCUAUCUACAACAAUAUUAAUAUCUUAAUAAUAAAUUAAACGUAAUAUAUAAUUUUUUAUAGUUGCAAUAACAUAGUGGAUGAGCAGCACAGUUCAGCAAUGCACCAACCACAAAUCUUAUAUUAUAAUAUAUAUCAUCUUAUAUGUAUCGUUUAUAUGGUAGUGCUAGUUAACCUUCUAAAGUUGGAUGGAGAUAACGGCUACAUGGCACAUAUGGAUUUGACCAAGUUUAGGUCCAUUCACAAAGCUUUUUGAAUUCUUUUGAAAUCAGGUGCAAUAUUUACAAAGUUGAAAUCAGUCUUUGUUCCUGCAUGAAUGUUUGAAAUAUUUUUUGUUUUAUUGAAUGGUAUGUUCUAAAUUAAAUAGAGUGGAUAUAGGCAGGUAAAAGGGUCAAACUAAAAUAUUUACUCCAAAAAGUAAAAAAAAUUAGUGUGUUGUAAUUAAAGGACCACUCUUUAGGUCGUUCCCCACCCUCAGGGUCCCUCUCCCACUGGGCUGAAGGGGUUAAACUUUUACCUUUCUCCAGCGCCGGGCAUUCAAUCAGUCCAUAGGAAAGAUUUUCUCAAUGCUUUCCUAUGGACGUCAGCGCCUUCUCACUGUGAUUUUCACAGUGAGAAGCGCAGAAGCGCCUCUAGAGGCUGUCAGUGAGGCUGUCCCAUUGUAAGUGAUUAUACUUCAUUAGGGGUAUCCACCACUUCUUCCAUAUCCUCCAAUAGGAAGCCAUCCUUAGGACAAGCCUCCAAGACCCUUUUAUGCCCAUUCUCAGCCCGGUUUAUACCCGGAAGUGACAUCUCACCUUUCGCAACACGUCACUUCUGCUUUUCGAACGAAACUAUUUCUUAUACCUCCUCCCACACCUUCACCCUGGUCCGCAUUUCCUCCACUUAUUUUCACUGACGAACGGAUGUCGGGCGGGGUGUGUCCAUAUCCAAAAGGCUCCACAUUGCUUGUGGGCAGGAAAGGGGAUAAAGGAGAAAAACAUAAAUAUACAAAGGAGGUUCUUUAGUAUACAUAAAAAGGGAUUGAUAUGAAUCAGAUGAUAUCUGCAGCCUCCUUUAUGUAAUUAAAGAUCAGUUUACAGCGCAGGAGAUAAAAACCAAGUUAAAGUAAGCUACAUCUGAUUGAAAUGAAACUAUUUUGCUUUCAUGCAGGCUGUGUCAGUCACAGCCAGACGAGGUGCGGCUAGGGCUGCAUAAACAGAAACAAAGUGAUUUGACUCCUAAAUGGCAGAGAAUUGAACAAUGAAACUUCAGAGGCAUGAUUUAUACACCAAAACUGCUUUAUUAAGCUAAAGUCGCUUUCGUGCCUAUAAUGUACCUUUAAAAAUAAAAAAGAGUUCAGCAAAGACACAGCAUACAAAUAUGGAAAUCGCAUAUGAACCACAAGUUUUUUGAGAUAGCAGCAUAAUACAUGAGAGUAAUAAAGCAGCCUUUUAUACAAGUAGCUUAUGACAGGCCUGAGUGAAAUAUUGAAACAGGUAUAUAACGAAAAGCAAGCAGAAUGGGCUGCGUCAUGACAUAGGCGCGUUCGAACAUCUGCGUGAGAGGAGGGGCGAUAUGGCGGAAGGGUGGCCGGUGAAGAUCCAUGCUGCUUGAGGAGACGCCGACAGCCGUGCCUGUCAGUCUGGGAAAUACUAGCAACUAAACACUACAGGCUGUCAGUGGAUGUUAGAGGACAGGAAUUGAGGGGGAUUACGAGAAAUUGGAGAUCUCGGAGAGGAGGAAAAGAGAGGAGUGACGAAACAUCAAUAACACCAAACUACAACAAAAGAUAAGUGCUCUUCCUAAAGUUUGACUGUAAAAGAGGAGGAAGGAAGGGGGGAGGAAUAAGGAAAGAGAAAGGGAGAGAAAAGGAAGGAAGGAAGGAUAAAGGAGGAGAGAGGAGGAGAGGGGAGUAAAAAGAAGGGAAAGGGAAGGGAAAAAAAAGGGAAAAAAGGAGAAACAAUAUAAAAAGGAACAGAUAAGGUUAAAAGAUCGCAAUUGCCUAAAUAAAACACAGAAUCUGGAUUUUAUAGAACACAUUUAUAUCUCGUCAAAUUUUUGGCAAAUACAAUCAUAAAACCCAUAUUUAUGAAUAAAUGGUUAAUGAUAUAUUAAAUUGCAAAUAGCUGCAAGUUGCCAUAUUGAAUGGUUUUCAAAUGUAUUAAUUAUAUCUAAUAAGCCGAGAAAUUGAAGGAAGAGAGAUAUCAACGAAAAAAUAAAAAAAAUCUACAGAAUGGCAGCCAAAAAAACACAGGAAGAUAAGAGAAAGAGGGAAAAAAAGGAUCCCAUUCCAGAGAAAAGAUUGUCAGGAUAUUUCUCCCCUUCUCAAAAUAAAUCUCAAGCGAUUUUGGAAACUCUGGAUACCUCACCCCCUUCCAAAUGUAACUCUAAUCUUCCUGAAGAUGAACAAGAAGGUAAACCUUUAACUGAAGAGAUCCUAAUAAAUUAUUUAGAUAAACUUCUGGAGAAAAUUAAAGAAGAUAUUCAGAAAGGGUCGUCACAUUCAAAACAGGAAUUAAGAAGUAUGCAAGAAAAAUUGGGAUCUAUAGAAUCCAAUAUGAUGCAAACUGAAUUAAAAUAUGAUCAAAUACAGACAACUAUGACAGACUUGCAGCUCAAAGUGGAACAAUUAGAGGGCAAACUAAACGAUUUGAAAGAUCGCUCCAGGAGAUCUAAUAUCAGAAUCCGUAAUAUCCCUGAAAUAGUUUUUAAUGGAUUAUUUUGAGUCGUUACUAGCUGAAACUGGACUAAAAGAUUCUGAAUUAGAAAGAUUCCACAGGCUCCCUAGACCUCGAAAUAUAGCAGAAUCCUCACCAAGAGAUGUAAUAGUCAAAUUUCAAUCUUUUUACCUCAAAAAUAAAAUGAUGGGGUCAUUAAAAAAUAAACCGGUAGUGGAAGAGAUGUUCAAGGACUUAAAGAUAUUCCCAGAUCUAUCAUUUUACACAAGAUCAUGGCGGAAAGGUUUUAGCCAGGAGUUGUCUACUUUAAGAGCAAGAGAAGUGAAAUACAUAUGGGGAUUUCCCAAAUGCCUUAGGAUGUUUUGGCAAGAAAAGACGGAAAAAUUUAUAACUUCGGACUCCCUGAGAAAGUGGAUGGAAGAAAAACAAAUGUUUGGAGCAGCGUAAUAAUAGAAGAGAGAAGAUGUUUUGAAGGAGGGUGGACAGAAAAGGACAGGUUUGUUUAUUUUUUUCAAGAAAUAACCAUUGGUAAAUAGGAAAUCUCUUUAAGAGGACCAAUAGAAUUACAAGGAAAACAUUACAGUGAUAAUUAAAAUUAUUUUUUUUGAUAAUUAAAAUAAAAAAAUUUUUUUCUUUAACAAAUGGUUGAUGUAUAUAGUAGAAAUAUCACAUAAAAGAAUAAGUAAGGAGAAAGAUAGCACAAAAGAAAUAAGAAGGGCAAUGCUUAUUUAUAUAUAUAUAUAUAUAAAAAUAAACAUGUAAGCAACAAUUAAUUCUCACUGAUAUAUUCAUAACAAAUGGUAACAUAGAAUGUUUAUAAGAAAAUAUACACUCAGUUUUACAGAUGGUGUGCAGCACUUGAAGAUGAUAUAUAUAUAUAACUAAGUCAGCCAUUUAAGAUUAUAUAAGGAUAUUUUAAUUUUUUAUUUUUUUUCUUCCCCCCCUUGGAAGGGAAGGGGGUUGGUAAAAUAAAAGGAUCAUGGUCACUCUUGACAGCUAUAUUGUCCCACCAAGUGUCAAUAUUUUGACACAAAUACUGAGAUAUGGUAAUUAAUGUUACCAUAUUACAAAGACAGAACUGGUUCCUGGGGGCCAAGGUGAGAGGCAACCUCCCAGGAGUCAGGUCAUGUCGGGCCAGACUGGGAUUAUUUCCCAUAAGGCCAUUUUUGGUCUACGUGAUGUGGUGUAUAUGUGUUUUAUGUAAAGCGUUGUAAUCUUCUUGGGUACAGUGGCAUUAUCACUCUAUGAAUUACAAUGGUGAAAAUGAUUUUGGUUAAUGUCCAGGGUUUAAACUCUCCUAACAAAAAAUCUCUAAUUUAUAAUUAUAUGCUAACAAAUAAAGUGGAAGUGGGUUUCUUCCAAGAAACCCAUUGGACGGAUAUAGACAAUCAUGGUUGGGGUGGUUCGAGAUUUCCUAUAGUGAUUCACGCUUCAUUAAGCUAUAAAAAAAAAAAAGAGGAGUAGCAAUAGUCUUUUCUCAUACAUUAAAAGUGGAAAUGACGCACCAAGUUAAAGAUAAGGAGGCUAAAUAUGUUAUAGUUUGCUGUAAAUUAAAUGAGAUACCCUAUACGCUGAUAAAUAUAUAUCUCCCUAAUGACUUUCCAGCUCCAACCCUAAAAAAAAUCCUAGACUUAGUGGAAUCCAAUAAAACAGGUAUAUGUUUAAUAGCUGGGGACCCGAUAUUAGAUAAAAAGUUUACCUCAACACUAUCACAUCACAAAUGAACAGAUAAAUUAGCGAAAUCUAUUAAGAGAAAUAUGAUUCAUUAUGAUUAUUUUGACUUAUGGGGAGCGCUUAACCCUGAUUCACUGGAUUAUACGUUUUAUUCGCGAGUACAUUUUUCUUACUCUCGAAUAGACAUGGUUUGGGGAAAUGCAAUAGCACUAACAAAUAUUAUUAUUAUUAUUGAUAAUACCUGUCAGAUCAUAGCAUUAAUAUGUGGGAGAUGAAAAACCAGUGGGCCAGGACCAAUCGUGAAACUUGGCGUAUAGAUGAUAAUCUUUUAAAGUAUAAAACUAAUUUAGAAUUAUUUGAUAAACAAAUUGUUGAUUUUUUUCUUGUCAAUGACCCGAACGAUACCUCUUACAUAAAUAAUUGGUGUGCUUUCAAAUCUACCAUGAGAGGCAAUAUAAUUAGUAUACAAGCACGAUACAAAGCAGAAAAUAAUAAAGCCCUCCUGGUGUUUCAAGCAGAAUUAAAUAAGGCCUCAAUUAAGAACAAGCAGUCCCCUUCUAGGAAACAUGCAGAUGCCCUGAAAAUUGCUCAAAAUAAAAUUAAUAAUCUCCUCCUAGAAAAAAAUGCAAGGGUUUUGAAUAAACUUAAUUCUAACUUUUAUUAUAAGGGGAAACGAGCAGAUAGAAUAAUGACAAAAAAGCUAAGAGAUAAAAUUGGAUCUAGUAAGAUAGUGAAGAUAGUGGAUGAUGAAGGUGAAUACUUGGACCCCAAAAAGAUAGGAGAGAGAUUCAAUAAGUAUUACGAGGCUUUGUAUAAUCUUCCUCCCUCGUUCGUAAUAGAGGAGGAUUAUUUGAGUAAAACUGUCACGCCUAGUAUUUCAUUAGAACAAAGAAAUUAUUUAAAGGAACACUAUAGUCACCUAAAUUACUUUAGCUAAAUAAAGCAGUUUCAGUGUAUAGAUCAUUCCCCUGCAAUUUCACUGCUCAAUUCACUGUCAUUUAGGAGUUAAAUCACUUUGUUUCUGUUUAUGCAGCCCUAGCCACACCUCCCCUGGCUAUGAUUGACAGAGCCUGCAUGAAAAAAAAAACUGGUUUCACUUUCAAACAGAUGUAAUUUACCUUAAAUAAUUGUAUCUCAAUCUCUAAAUUGAACUUUAAUCACAUACAGGAGGCUCUUGCAGGGUCUAGCAAGCUAUUAAUAUAGCAGGGGAUAAGAAAAUCUUAAUUAAACAUAACUUGCAAUAAAGAAAGCCUUAAUAGGGCUCUCUUUACAGGAAGUGUCUAUGGAUGGCUGCGCAAGUCACAUGCAGGGAGGUGUGACUAGGGUUCAUAAACAAAGGGCUUUAAUUCCUAAAUGGCAGAGGAUUGAGCAGUGAGGCUGCAGGGGCAUGUUCUAUACACCAAAACUGCUUCAUUAAGCUAAAGUUGUUCAUGUGAUUAUAGUGUCCCUUUAAAUACCCCCAUCACAGUUCAAGAAGUUGAGGAGGUAAUAGGCAAUUUAAAAUCAGAUAAGACCCCAGGUCCAGAUGGUUUUUCAAAUUUAUUUUAUAAAUCUUUCAAAAAUCGUAUAGCCUUGCACCUAACUAACAUGUUUAAUGAAGUAGUGUCAGUGGGUAAAUUUCCCACCGAAAUGCUGAGAGCAAAUAUCCUCCCAAUCCUUUAGCCAAAUAAAGACCCCUUAAAGGUGGAAAAUUAUAGACCCAUUUUGUUAAUCAACACAGAUGUUAAGAUCUUUUCAUCAGUUUUGGCCCACAGAUUAAAAGGAGUCAUGGUUAACAUCAUAAAAAAUUAUCAAAUUGGGUUUGUACAGGGGAGGAAUUUGGUAGAUAACUCCAGAAGACUGUUAGAUUUAAUAGACGCUGCUUGAAGAAAUAAAAAGCCUUUAUUUCGAUUGGCAGUUGAUGCUGAGAAGGCUUUCGACAGGGUCGGUUGUUUUUUUUUAAGGAAAACCUUGAAAAAAUUCAGGAUAUGGGGAUGGAUGCUUAAUGCAAUUCUUGCGUUAUAUGCGGGUCCAACGGCAAGAACUGUGGCUCCAAAAAUAUGCGCAUAAUGGUUUACAUUAAAUAAUGAAAUGCGGCAAGGCUGUCCUUUGUCGCCUACUCUGUAUAUUAUGACAAUCUAGAUCCUCGCUAUUAAUAUUAGAAAUAAUUCCUGAAUAAUAGGUUUUAGGUAUAGAGAUAAAGAAUUCAAACUUAACUUAUAUGCGGAUGAUUUAAUUAUGACCCUAACCGACCCUGUCGAAUCUUUGGUUGCCCUGAUGGAAGAAGUAAACAAAUACAGUUCAAUCUCAAAUUACAAAAUGAAUGUAACUAAAUCAACUUUCUUAGCUAUCAACAUCUCAAGGGAAUGCAGACUCCAUAUAAAGGAACACUAUAACUUUAAUUGGGAUAAAAAUCAAUUGUCAUAUCUGGGAAUAAUACUUACUGAUGAUUUAAAUGAUACGAUGCAAACAAACUUUUAAAAAACAUUUAGAUUAACCCACGAGUCUUUAAAAAAAUGGAGACAGGUCGAAUUAUCCUGGUGGGGAAGAAUUAACGAUUCAUUUGUAUUUACUCCCCAAAUGGUAUUAUUUUUUUCGCAUGAUCCUUUUAAGAAUGCCCCAACCAUGGUUAGCUAUGAUACAACGAGAUACAAAUAAUUUCAUAUGGAAAGGAAAAAGGCCAAGAAUGAAUAAAAAACUUCUGAUGCAGAAGAGUAGGAAUGGAGGUAUAAAUUUUCCAAAUGUGAACCUUACCUAUUUAGCUAAUAUGAUGCUCCAUAUCUAUAAGACGCAACUCAUAACUUCUGAGGAAGAGGGCUGGUAUCAACUAGAAAGGGAGAUGUCAGAAAUGGAUAAAUUGCAUCAACUGAUAUUGAUAACUAAUCGAGACGAGAGAAUUAAGUCUGUUCUUUAAAUAAUUGUUUGAAAUCAAUCUUGUUGGAAUGGGAAAGGUUGAGGAUUAGCAGCGGAAUAGGUAACAAAAUACUGGGAAACUUUAGUUUUAGUGUCAUACAAGUAAGGAUGAAGGAUAUAAAUACAAAUGAGUGGUCCAGGAAAGGUAUAAAUCAUAUUAAUCAAAUUAUACUAGGAGACAAGAUUAAGUAGUUUGAGAGGCUGAUACAAGAAUUUUUGUUGCCCAGAAAGGAGUGGUAUAAUUACUUAAGGAUUAGAGGUUUCAUCAAACAAUUUUUGUUAGCUCGACCUAUAGAGGGUUUAGAAAACCUGACCGCUUUAUUAAAUAAUGAGAAAGUAUCUCAAAUAGCCUCAAGAGCAAGAAGCGCUCUUCUUCAGAUUGAAGCACCAACUACGAAUAUAAACAUGCAGAAGUGGGGUAAAGAGCUAAAUAUACAGAUUUUUAAGACUGAAUGAGAUCAAGUGUUAAUGCAAACUAGUAAAGCUAUUCAUUGUUUGAGUAUUCUGGAGGUAUUAUUUAAAUUGAUGAAUCGCUGGUAUUUAGUUCCCACCAGAUUGACUAAAAUGUAUACCUCCAUUUUUCCAACGUGUUGGAGAUGUAAUGAGACGGAAGGGACUUUUGGCCAUAUCUGGUGGGAAUGUAGUAAGGUGAAAAGGUUGUGGUACAUUGCUUUUGAGGCACUGGAAUACAUAACAGAGAGAAGUAUUCCUAGGGGUCCCCAUAAUGGUUUGUUCCAUCCAGGGCCAGAUUAAGAGCCCAGUGGGCCUGGUGCAGACAAUUAUGAUGGGCCUAAUUACAAAAUCUUAUUGACCAAAAACACUAAAACAGUCCUACCUCCUAAGCGUCAUGUAUCUGAUGGAGAUGGUGCUGGAGGGAAACUCAUAGGAUGCAGGUAUGAGAAAACACAUACCCUAUGCUAAUCUCACACUUUCAUCUUUCAAGUAAACCCAUACCCCCUAACAGCAGUGUCCAGUGAAGCAGGAAGUCUAAGGAUGGGGUAAAAGGGUGGGCCACUGACACAAAUCCCAUAACCAGAACUGCCAAAAGGGGCGAACAUACACAAAAAGGAGGCACCCAGUGUCCCCAUUUCUCCAUGUCUCCCAGUGUCCCCAAGAGUCUGUGUCCCCAUGUCUCCCAGUCCCUUAGUGUCUGGGACCCCAUGUCACAAGGACACUAGGGGACAUUGGGACACUUGGAGACAUGGGGACACUGAGAUACUAGGGAACACUGGGAGACCUGGGGACACUGAGAUUCUUGGGGACACUGGGAGACAUGGAGAAAUGGGGACACUGGGUGACUUUGAGACACGAGGGGACACUGGGAGACAUGGGGCACUGAGACACUGUGAUGCACAGGGGACACUGUGAUAUAAAGGGGACACUGGAGACUUGAUAAAGACCUGGGUACAGGUCAAAACGUUGCGGUGUUCAAUAAACCUGCUUAAAUCUAUCACAGUGAGUGCCUGAGAUUUUUUUCUUUUAUACUAGGGGACACAGACACUUGGUGGCACUGUGAGACAUAGGGACACUGAGACACUUGGGGGCACUGUGAGACAUGGGGAGACUAGGGGACACUGAGACACUAAGGACACUGAGAUACUAUGGACAUUGAGAGACACCAGGGACACUGUGAGACAUGGUGCAUUGAGACACUGUGAUACAUAGGGGACACUGGAGAAUUGAUAAAGACCUGGGUACAGGUCGAAAUGUUGCGGUGUCCAAUAAACCUGAUUAAAUCUAUCACAGUGCAUGCCUGAGAUUUUUUCUUUUAUACUAGGGGACACUGAGACACUAGGAGACCUGGGGACAUUGGGACACUGAGACACUGGGAGACUAGGGGACUUUGGGAGACUAGGAAAUACUGAGACACUAGGGACACUGGCACACUACAGACAUUAAGAGACACCAGGGACACUGAGACACUGGCUGGGAGACAUGGGGACACUGAAAGAUUAGGGGCCACUGGGAGACAUGGGGACACAGACACAAGGGACACUGGCUGGGAGACAUGGGGACACUGAGACACUAGGGACACUGGCUGGGAGACAUGGGGACACUGAGACACUAGGGACACUGGCUGGGAGACAUGGGGACACUUGGAGACAUGGGACCACUGUGUCCCUAGUGUCUCAGGGUCCCCAUGUUCCCCAGUAUUCCUAUGUCUCCCAGUGUCCCAAUGUCUCAGCAUCCCCAAGUCUCUCACCGUCCCCAUGUCUUGCAGGCUCGGAGCUGCUGUCUGGACUCUCUGUGCAGAGCUGUUCCCCCGGGGAUCAGUGAGUAGAGAGAGGCAGGAAGGGAGAUGCUGUAACUUCUUAUCCCUGCCUCUCUCCACACAAACAGCGACCCCUACUGGCCGGCGCUGGUAUUGCAGAAUAAUCUCUGUUUAUACUGAGACAGACAUUUGUAUUGCCAGUAUUACUGCAAUACUGGCUAGGCAACCUCAAAUACCUGAGAAAUACUUCUGAGAAAUAGCUGGCAACCAUAAGAAAUACAUGAGAAAUACCUGGCAACUCUAAGAGUAGUGUGUGUAAAAAAAAAAAAAUGUUUUUUUUUUUUUUUUUAAAUCAAUGGGCCUAUUCCAUGGGCCUGGGCCUGGGCCUGGAGCUGCAGCUCCAUCAGCCCCUAUGUUAAUCCGACCCUGGUUCCAUCUAUAUCUACAAUCACUUCAUUUUAGAGAUAGAUUUAUAUAUGUCCACUUUGUGGCAGCAGUAAAAAUAAUAAUUGCUAGGAGAUGGAAGAGCAGUGAGAAUUUUACACAGGCCCAACUGUACUCACAAGUUUAAUAUCAAUUAACUAUGGAGGCCUUAGGAUACCAGACAAAUAAAAUUAGAGAUAUUAGUAAUUUUUGGAGAAAUAGAAUGGAGAAUUCAGAUACACAAACCCCGGGACAGAGUGUUUAGAUUAUUUUUCUUGGUUUAUUAUAUUAAGAAGUAAUAUAAUAGAGGGUCCACUGUAAUCUCCUAAGGAUAUUUUGCAACGCAAUGUGGGUUAUGUCUAUGUAAUGUGAGUUAUGUCUAAUGUAGUAGUUAAGGUAUAUGAUGUCAAGUUAGCCAAUAUCGAAGUGUUUCAUGUGCAAGUAAGAAAAAGGGGUUGUCUACACAGAAUUGUGAAUAUUGCACCUGGAUUUAAAAGAGAGGGGUUAAGUAAAGUUUAAGCCUGCUUGGCAAAUGACGUUAUUACGUUAUAUAGGAUAAAUCUUUGUGAUAACAUUUCUGUUUAAAAGUGAAAUGAGUUGGAAUAUUUAUUAUUGAGAAUACUGUGAUACAUUAUCUAUAUAUGUUAUGCAUUAUGAAGAAAAUUGUGAUUUUCACUGUAGACGGAAAUUGUUUUUUAUAUGUGUCGAAUUAAAACAAAAUUAAUUAUUAUAAAAAAAAGAAAGCAAGCAGCUUGAAUAAUAUGCCACUUAAAGAAAAUGAAAAGACAAAAAGAAAAGAAAUACAAGGCAUAUCAAAUUUAGAAGUAGAGAGGAUAGUUUAAGCAGACUAUAGACUUACUGAGCCAGUCUAGCUGUAUAACAGGCGUACAAGAGCUGUGGUCUAGCACUAGGUUGAAGGUUCUGUCACCCCUGAUGGAGUAGGUCCUGGGAAUAAAAGAUAUAAUAGAGGCGAUAUUCUGACAGUAGGAAGAAGUGCAGGAGGGUAGGUGGUUCUGGUGCUCACAUGAUUGGUAGGUAUUGCAAUUAUUUUCUGCCCACAGCCGUUGUGGGCCCAACCUAUAGUAUUUAUAUAUAUUGUUAUCAUGUAGCUAAUUUAUUGAGAGAUUGACACCACAGAGCUGUCUGCCUGGAGAGGUCCCUUUGGAUUUAGAAGAUUAGUUGCAAAUUUUCAAAGGACCAAGAAGGAGAACCUCUUGUGGCUCCUACAAGCAGAGCACUCUCUGAGUCCUUCAGACAUUUAGCAAAAAAGUCCCUGGGAGCUUCUGAAGGGACCUUUGUAGCCUUGUGUAGCUGGAUUUAAAGGACCACUAUAGUGCCAGGAAAACAUACUCGUUUUCCUGGCACUAUAGUGCCCUGAGGGUUCACCCACCUUCAGGGACCCCCUCCCGCCGGGCUGGAUGGCGAGGAAAGGGGUUAAACUUACCUUUUUUUCGGCGCUGGGUGGGGAGCUCUCCUCCUUCUCUCCGCCUCCGAUCCUCCUCUUCCAGUCUCAUAGGAAAGCAUUCAUAAUGCUUUCCUAUGGACGCUGGCGUCUUCUCACUGUGAUUUUCACAGUGAGAAGCACGCAAAUGCGUCUAGCGGCUGUCAAUGAGACAGCCACUAGAGGCUUUAGAGGCUGGAUUAACCCAUUUAUAAACAUAGCAGUUUCUCUGAAACUGCUAUGUUUAUAAAAAAAAAGGGUUAACCCUAGCUGGACCUGGCACCCAGACCACUUCAUUAAGCUGAAGUGGUCUGUGUGCCUAGAGUGGUCCUUUAACACUCAAUGAAAAACUGCUUAGUUGUCUACUAGACAGCCACUAGAUGGGACAUCGGCGCUGAAUACAGGUAAGUCACUGAAUGGGGUCCCUUUAAGUGCAGAAUCUGUAGCAGUUACUGUUAACAUAGUGCUCCUUACAUUUCAUUCAACAGCAGCCAUGCGUCCCGUCACUGGGGCUACCUUCUCCCUGACCACUGCCAUGUCAGAUUAAAACAUUGUGUGUAUUUCAUGCAGUAAGCCAGAAUCUCUCUGAAUAAUAGUGAGCCAACUAUAGUCUGUAAUGGAUACAGCCGGUGCGUUUUAGAUUUCUUCCCUUUUUUCUGCCAGUGGUAACAGAGAGGGUUAGAGGCUAAUUUAUGAUCUGGGACAGGGAUAAAAAUCACUAUGAAGGAGUGAAAGACACAAAGUUUUGUCCUCCCCCCUGCCCCCCCUCCAUAAUACCUUUUUUAUUGUAAUUUAGAUGGUAUUUGUAUUUUUUUUUUUUUUGUCAAUCUCUUUUUUUUUUAAUUGAAAUACGAACAAUGGUCACAUGAUGACAAUAUCAUAUCGCAUAUAAUGUACAACAUCAGGGUGUAACAUUGGUUUUACAUAGCCAGACUUUUGUUUUCAACUCGUGUGUAUAUCACAGUUACAAUAGAUGUAACAGAAAAAGGUGAUGCGUUUUGGGUCUAGGUAGCAAGACAUAUAUGUAAUACUGCUUUUGCCUAAGCCAUGGGCCUUUGUUGUCCCUUUCCUCCGACUACCUACGAUGCCAGCUCCUGGGCUUCAGCCCGAGUUUGACCCUAGUCAUCAAGUGUCAGGUAUACCUAACAUUCAUGCUGCCGCCGGAACCCACUUCCAGGUUCACGGCGCUUAGCUCCGCCCCUUUUUUCUGACGCGGUCUUUCCACAAUACUUAGGAACACCGCGCCAGAUUCAAAGUGCUGGAUUAUUCACUCAGGUGCGGCAGUGAGAUCAGCUGCUCUACUCGAUGCUACCGGCUCCACUUCUCAGACCUCGGCUUGUAAACGGAUUUCUACCUUCUCAUCUCUCAGACCUCGGCUUAUAAACGGAAUUCUACCUUCUCCUCUCCCAGACCUCGGCUUGUAAACGGAUUUCUACCUUCUCAACUCUCAGACCUCGGCUUAUAAACGGAAUUCUACCUUCUCCUCUCCCAGACCUCGGCUUGUAAACGGAUUUCUACCUUCUCCUCUCUCAGACCUCGGCUUGGAUAAACGGACUUCCUUUCUCUCACUACUAAUCUGCAGUUUGUUAAAAGAGACUCCAUCCUCUUCCUCCAUUGGGUGAAUUAACCCUUCCAGUGCCAGAAUGCUUCUAAGUUAAGUAAAUCUUUUGUCAAGGAAAGCAAGUCAUAUCAAUUAAUUAUAGUAUUUAAUUUCUUUAAACUCUCUGUUGACAAAUAAGGAUUGCUGCUAAGGCUAAAACUUCAUUAUUAAAAUUCAAGUUGGAACUAACUUGGCAUUUUCCUGAUUAUUAUUUAAAGAUACAGUCCACUGAUUUCACUCCAAUAUAAUAGGAGAUGAAACUUACUGUUCCUGCCCUCAUAAUAUUCUGCAGUUGAGUUCCAAUUAAAGAGGUACUACACAAAAGCAUCACAUCAAGAAACGCUUCUUGCUGAUUCAAGCCUAUGCUAGUCUCGGGGCGGUCAGUCUCAGGGUAUGGUUUUUCUGUCUCGCUUGGUCUUGCGUCGGGUCCUGUUGUGUAGUUAGAUAGUGGUGGCCGGUAGAGAGUCAACGAUCACUAGGAUCUCAGAGCUGGCUAUGCCCCCCGUUGUGAGUCUGAUCGCCCGUUCCCCCUAGUUUUUGGUGUCCGUGUGUUAUCUCAUAGAUUGUUAUGUCUGAGUCAUGCGCUAUUUUGACUGUUUGGGUUUCAAGUUUAUAUCGAAGUGCGUAAGUGCGGCCUACCUCGGGUUUAUUUCGAUAUGGCUGUCAGAGGGCGAGAGGUCAGGUCCAUGAGUUUGAUGCCUUCAAGUAUAAGGGUGUUAUGAGGUGCAAGCGGCAAGGGUAGUAGGGCAAAGGGUAAGAGAAAGAUGGGGUGAGGGAAGGGGAGAGGAGGGGAGAGGAGGGGAGAGUAGGGGAGAAAAAAAUAAUUUGUCUGCCAUAAGGGGGCGCGGCGUCCCCCCCCCACCCCUCCAAGGUGUCUGGCCGAGCACGCCCACGUUACAAAGAGGCGCAUUCGUGAUCUUAGCAUCCCUUGUCUCCCUGUUUUCUGGGUUGCGGUUUGUUUAGAUUUUGUUCAGGUUUCCCGAAAUGUAUCGCUCCGUGGUUCCAUGCAGAGAGGCCGUUAGUUGCUCCAUUCCAUGUAUUUCUUCGACCUUGUCCAUCCAGUUUUGGAGGGUGGGUAUUUGCGUGGUUCACCACCUCCCUGGGAUAAGCAUUUUGGCUGCAUUCAGUAAAUGCUUAUUUAGCGAUUUUUUUUGUAUUUCGAGAGGGGUAGCGAGGUGUGGUGAAGAAGCAUCUGGAGUGGUUGAAGCGGGAUAUCUGUGUCUGUGAUGUUUUUGAUCUGUGAAUGUAUUUGUUGCCAGUAUGGGGCUAUGUUUCUGCAGGACCACCAUAUAUGUACCCACCUCGGUUUCACAACGCCAGCAGGUCGCUGAGGCUUACAGUAUCAUCCUAUGUAUUCUCUCAGGCGUCCUGUACCAGUUGGUCAGCAGUUUAAAGUUGAGUUCCUGCUGUUUGGAACAAAUUGAGCUUUGAUGUGUUAGGAUAUGGAUUUUCGUCCACUGGGGGUCCGUCAGUGUAACUCCCAUGGCUUUUUCCCAUCGCGUAGUGUAUUUAAGGGGUUUGGGCUGCGACGAGGUCAGAAGCAGUGUGUAGAGGUACGAGAUUCCUCUGCACAGGUGUUUGCGUUCCGUGCAAAGUUGUUCGAAUUCUGUCAGGGGCCUGUGGAAUAGGUGUCUCCUGAAGUGGGAUUGAUAGUAGGUUUUAGUUUGGAAGUAUCGAAAUCUAUCUAGUCCCGAAGGUAUCCGUUCUGGCAUCAGGUCUUGUAGUUGCUUCAGCAAGUCCCCUGUGCACCACUGGUGCAUGUACGUCCAGUCCGAGUCUCCGAAGGCCUUGAUAUCCUGUCGUGUAAGGCCGCCCGCUAGGUCUGGGUUAUGUGUGAUCGGCGUCAAUGGUCCUGGGGUGGUGGUCAACGUUAGGUUGGUCCUUAUGGAGUACCAGGUUUGUAGCGUCACUCCAAUGAGCGUGUGGUUGCGUGAGCGUGCACCCGUCAAGGAGCCCCCGAGCCACACCACGGCCGGGAUCGACCCAUCCAUUAGGUUCCGUUCCAUGUGUAUCCAUUGUUUGCUAGUUUUGGGCACAUGCCAGUCCACAACUCUAUGGAGAUGUGUUGCCCUGUAGUAAUCCAAUAUUGGGUAGGCGGAGGUGUAGUUUUGCCAGUCUGAGUGCCUUUGAUUUCCAUAUAAACCUGGUGAUGGCUGUGUCCAUUGUUCGGAAGAAGGUCUAAGGGAUGUUGAUUGGUAUAGUCUGGAAAAGGUACAGGAGGUUCAUUUUAAUUGCGUUCAUUCUCCCAAACCAUGAGACGCAUAGUCCUGCCCACCGUAUCAGAUCUGAUCCCAGCUUGUGUAUCAUUGGUGUGAAGUUGUGUGUGUUCAGCUGGGCCAGGUCUGCCAUCAGCCAGAUUCCUAGGUAUUUGAGCUUGGCAUGGCACCACUUAAAGGCAUAUUGGGACCUGAGGUGGGUAGUCAUCACUUCUCCCGUCGAGACGGGGAGCGCCUCCGAUUUAUCCGUAUUCAAGUUCAAGUUAUCCAACUAUAUGACCAUAUUCAGCGAAGGCCUUCAAGAGGUUUGGGAGGGAGACCAACGGUUCGCUAAUGAAGAACAGCAUGUCAUCCGCAUACGCGGCCACCUUAUGUUCCUGUCCAUGUAGGGUAAAUCCCCCUAUGCCCACAUCCCGUCUGACCGCCCCCAGGAAAGGUUCCAGGGAGAGGGCAAACAGAAGGGGGGACAGCGGGCACCCCUGCCUCGUCCCGUUGCGUAUAUGUACCAGCUUAGAAAGAGCUCCAUUGAUCCGCAUCCUAGCCGACGGGAUCGUAUACAGCAAGGAGAUUCACGCCAGUAGAUGUGGGCCAAAGCCCAUUGCUCGGAGUGUAGCUAGCAUGAAUCACUAGUCCACUCGAUCGAAGGCCUUCUCUGCGUCGGUGGAAAGGAGAAGGACAUUCUGUGCAGAGCGCCUCACUGCGUGGAUGACGUUUAGGGCUCGUAUGGUGAUGUCUCUUGCUUCCCGGCCAGGGAUGAACCCCACUUGAUUGGGAUGAACUAAAUCCGGUAGCACUCCCCCUAUAGGUGUCGCUAUGACUUUCGUGAAAAGCUUCAGGUCCGCGUUCAGGAGUGAGAUUGGCCGGUAGCUUGCGCAGUUGGUUGGGUCUUUACCUUCCUUUGGGAUGACUGCUAUUGUUGCCGAUAGAGCGUCUCUGGGGAGUGCCCCUCCAUCUAGUAGGGUGUUGAGUCCGGUGAGUAAUUUGGGCAGGAGCACAUUUCUGAACUCUUUGAUGUAUCUUACCAGUAAUCCAUCUGGGCCCGGGGCCUUGUUUAGUUUGGAGCCCUUCAACGCACCUUGGAGUUCUUCUAAUGUAAUUUGAGCUUCCAAUCCUUCUACCACGUCUUGGCUUAGGGUUUUCGUGACAUGUUGUUGCAGGUAAUUCCCUAUUUGUAUGUCUUUUCGGGUGUAGUCGUCCGCGUUGCCAUCUGGGGGUAGGUUAUACAAGUCAUUAUAGAAACCAUGGAAUGCGUCUGUGAUCUUGUCAGGGAGCUGUGUGGCUACCUGGUCCCUGUUUUUAAUUUUAGUGAUUUGGCACAGUCGGCGUUGCUUUUGGAGCGUCCGGACCAGAAGGCGGCCACAUUUGCCCGAGUAUUCAUAGAAAAAACGGUGGGAUUUACGAAUAGUAUGUUGUAGUUUGCGGUGUAGAAUGUCUCUCAGCGCUUGUCUGGCUUCUAGUAGGGCUUUGUAGUCGUCAUCUGACUCGGUGGACUUAUGUGUGUUUUCUAGUACCGAGAUCCGUGCAGUCAGUUCACUCGUUGUCGCUGUGCCUUCUGCCGCUGGGUACAUAUUUUAAUCAGUUGUCCUCGGAUAACGCAUUUAUGUGUUUCCCAUAUUGUCAGGGCUGGCAUAUCCGGGGAUUCAUUCUCCUCAAAGAAAGUGGUUAGUGUCGAUUGGAGUUCCAUAGUUACUGGUGCGUCGUUGUGUAUGGACUCAUUCAUCCGCCAUUGGCGGUCUCUCGGCCGAUACAAGGGGGAUCUAAGUUUUGCUCACACUGGGGAGUGGUCGGAACUGCCCAUGGGCCGUAUCUAUGCCGAGAGGAGCAUAGGUAGGAUUUCCUGGGCCACCAAUAUAUAGUCCAGCCUGCUAUAUGAUUUGUGUAACGUGGAGUAAUAGGUGAAGUCCUUAUCCCCUAGAUGGAGCACCCUCCAGCCGUCCAUGAGACCAGAGCUUCGUAACGCCUCACGUAUUGUUCGAAGGCCCUGAGGCGGAAAGGAGCUAGUCCCCUUGGAGGUUCUAGGGCAACAUUUAGGUCACCUGCCACUAUGAGGAAGCCUUCCCAGAAUACCUCAAGUUUAUGUAGCGUCUUUCUAAUGAAUCUAGUUUGCAGAGUGUUAGGCGCAUAGAUGCUAGCGAAGGUAUAAGAACAGCCGGCUAUAGUGCCUUUAGCAAAAGCGCCCCAUGGGGUCCGCCUUAGUAUCCGCGCACUCAAAUGGUAUCGUGUUUGUGAACAGGAUCGCCACUCCUGCCUUUUUGGCCGUCUGGUGAUUUGCGAAAAACCCCAUUGGGUAGCGUGUAUCCCUCAGCUGUGGGCCUUCCUUGCCGCGGAAGUGGGUUUCCUGUAGGAAUGCCACUGGCACCUGCUCUGUCCAUAAGGAGCGCAACAGGUGGGAUCUUCGCUCGGGCAUGUUCAGGCCCCGGACGUUACUCGACCAGACAUUGAAGGGCGCGGGCGCGAACCCCGUCCCCAUGGUUCGUGAUAUGGGUGGUGGGGAUGGGAGGGAGGUGGGAAGAGAGGGCAAGGGUAGGAAGAAAAGAGUGUAUCAAACCCGGCGUAGGUUCGAGGUGACUUGGCGCCUGUGGUGUCUAGGGGAAACUUGACCCUUGGAGCACAAGCGCAGGACUCAGCCUGUGUCCAUGACUUGUUUUGGGGUGUAUUCCCCAGGUGUAUUUACAGUGAAUUAGUAAAGGCAAGGUAACUAUAACAGGAAAUACGAACCCCUGUCUGAUGGGGUUGGGUAAUUAACAAACUUGUAGUGUUGCGACCUGUGUCCCUCCCCCCCUGGCCUUGAGUGCACAGGCACUACGGGUGGCAUAAGGUUACCGGUGGAUUAUAUUUGGUCCGUCUUGUUAGCAUUAGUCGUAUGCCUGUCAGUACGGGGGGGCCCCUGCCCAGCCCAUCGAAUCCCAGAACCUCGGGGGAGCGGUCCCGUGUUGGGGUGUAGGUGGGGGAAAGCUCGUCCUGUCGCCUGCCAUUUCCCAGUUAAGCUUAACCGUCUGUGUUUACUUCGUUCUGUAUCUCACGAUCUAUUGCGUCUAGUUUUGGGGGUCUAGCAGGCCUAUCGCAUCGCCUGCAGGGAAGAGGUCUUGGGUUACCGCUGUUGGACACCCGCAUGGGGUGGUGGUUUAGAUCCCUACUUAGUCUCCGUUCCCAUUACCCUCUGGGGGCCUAUUUAUUAUUUUGCAUCUACACUAUGCUACCUAUUCCUUACUCUCCUGACAGAUUGGAGCAAGAUCCCCCGAGUGUAUAUUCUCUGGUCUCAUGGGAGGGCUAUAGACUUCAUCCCUACCAUCUCUCGGAGACAAUAAUAACCAUAGAUCCCAGCCUCCCCCCUCCCUCAACCUCGGAUUUCCUCCGUCCCCCUCUAGCAGUGAGAGUACAGUGUUCACAGUCCCGGUAGGGGUGGCGAGGGUGUAUGUCUCUGUGCCCCUCUCCGCCAUCCGGCGUUAUGAAGUCAGCAGGGUUGUCCAGAGACUCUAGGGCAGGCCUUGUUAGAUGCUUCCCAAUUACAAAGUGAAGGCUCAGAGUAAUCUUGUGUAGCCUGCUUUUGCGCCAUUUUGCAAGACAUCUGGGCUUGGGGAGUCUCAGCUGCGGGUCAUAUGUCCGUUCCCCUGCCCUUCAGAGUAGGCUUGUCCCACGAACCCCCAAGUCCAAGUCCCCUUCUGUGUCACCGUGAACAUUCACUGCUGUGCCUUGUCGUGGUAGACGGUGUCGGCCUGUACCCUAGGCUAUGACCCUCCUGGAGGAGUCUUUGCAUAUUUUCAUAUUGUCUUUCCUUUUUUCCCCUCUCCCCUCUCCCUCUUUUGUGGGGGGCGUCCCUCUCUCUCCUAGCAAGCCCUGUGUUGUGGCCUAGUUUAGGGUCCCCCAUUUAGCCCCUCCCCAAGUGUCCUGGUUGUUUCCCCUCUACCCCCGUAAGUCCCCAUUCGCAGGUGGGCUUCUGUGUCCCCAAAUGUGUGUGUAGGACUCACCGGAUCAUCGUCUACCUGUCCAGGCAUCGACCAGGCUACUCCUCAGGGCCUUCCAGGCCUACUCUCCGGCGCGGCGGGUCAUUUCGGUUAGGUGCAGCUUCUGGUAAUCGCAUAGGAGCCAGUGUGUCUCUCCUGGAGAUGAUGGCUUCGUCAAGGAUCCAGUUUCUGAUUCUGAUCUGAGGCAGGCCGAGUGUCCUUUGGAGUCUCGGGAUGUCUUCCGGCCAGUGGGCCAUCAGCCAGGCAUUGCCAUGUUUCGCCUGGAGGCUAAAGGGGAAGCCCCAGCGGUAGGGGAUCCUCUUGUCCCUGGGGGCUCCCGUCAAUGGGCGCAGGGCUCUCCUGGCAUCCAGCGUUAAAGGACCACUAUAGUGCCAGGAAAACAUACUCAUACCGCCCGGCUCUGGAAGGGGGAAAGGUGUUUAAACUUACCUUUUUCCAGCGCUGGGCGGAGAGCUCUCCUCUUCCUCUCCGCCUCCAUUACGCCCCGCCGGCUGAAUGCGCACGCGCGGCAAGAGCUGCGCGCGCAUUCAGCCGGUCUCAUAGGAAAUGCUUUUACAAUGCUUUCCUAUGGACGCUGGCGUGCUCUCACUGUGAUUUUCACAGUGAGAAGCACGCAAGCGCCUCUAGUGGCUGUCAAUGAGACAGCCACUAGAGGAUUAGGGGGAAGGCUUAACCCAUUCAUAAUUAUAGCAGUUUCUCUGAAACUGCUAUAAUUAUGAAAAAAUGGGUUAACCCUAGAAGGACCUGGCACCCAGACCACUUCAUUAAGCUGAAGUGGUCUGGGUGCCUAGAGUGGUCCUUUAAGCUGGAUAGGUCUUGGUAAAGUGAGACCUCCGCAUCGCGGUAUCUGAUGGUGGGGAGCUCCCUCGCGGCAGCCAUUAUCUUAUCUCGCAGCCCACAUGUGGAUAUGCAGCAAAUCACAUCCCUGGGGCUGCCGUCCUGCCUUACCGGUCCCAGGUCUCUGUGCGCUCGUUCAAGCUGUAUCAUUUCAGGGGCUUGUACCCCAAGGAGCUGCCGGAAUAGGUCAGUUAGCGUGGCUUGGAGCGGCUCUGUACCUGUCUCUGGUAGGCCGCGGAUUCGUAUAUUGUUGCGCCUGCUCCUGUUUUCCAGGUCUUCCGCUUGUCUGCGUAAGGUGAGGAGCAUGUUACCCUGUCUGGUAACAGCCACCUCUGUCGCCCUGUGCUACUCCUCACAGCCGUGAGCCGACGUCUCCAUUUCAUCCACUUGUUGUUCUAGCGUACUCAGAUCUGCAUGGAGGCCAGCAAGUUCUUCGCGUAGCGCCGCACGGAGUUUCUGGACCAGGGAACCUGUGUCCGCCUUGGAUAGCAUUUUAGUUCUGCCCGGAUCCUUGCUAAGUCACUUGCCUGAGUGUCCUCUGCCAGAGAUUCCCCUGCGCACUCCAAGCUCGGAGAUGCGGGCGCCAUCUUGGACGCAUGCUGCGGUCCUCUGAAAUCCGACGGCAUGGCAAUAAAAUCAUCCAUCGGUCCCGUGCACCGGCGAGGGGAGCUAACCCCUGUUGACUCUAGAGCUAAGUGCUUCUUAGUCCGGACCAUUAGUUCCCGGGUUGUCGCUGGUUUUUUUGCUGUUUUUCGGCCAGGGGGUGCGGAGCUCGUUCACUGUACGUCCUGCACCAUGCUCGUCCAGGCCACACCCCGGUAUUUGUAUUUCUAAUACAAAGUAAUACAGUGCACUACAAUUGCAUUACAGAGCCAUUUUAUAGAAACAUUUGGAACAAUGGUCUUGACUUACUAAGUUUUCCAAAUUAUUCCAUUCUGUUAGAAAGACUUUCCAAAUGAUGUAUCUAGAAAAUUCCCAUAGACUUUAAUGAAGAUAAAUCAUGUAGAUAAAUCAUUUGGAAAGUUUUUCUAACAGUAUUCAAUCAUUUGAAAAACGUAUUAAAUCAAGGCCAAUGUUCGCAUUAAACUGUGGUUUGAGUAUAAAUACUGUAUAUUAGUAACGUCGAAAUAUACAUCCAAUGCCAAGUAAGACUAGAUAUGCCCCUUUGUCACCCGUAUAAAACAUACUCUUUGUUUGUAUUGUAGAUGAUAAUGGGUGUUCAACAAGCUAUGACUCAGAUACUACUAGUGUAAAGAUAAAUUGUAUUUAUUCAUUGUUUUUAUUUAUGUAUUAAUAAAUACAUUAAACAGUCCAGGAGAAUAGCCUUUUUUUAUUUGUAGUACCAAAUGUUGAAGGACACAAACGCCGAGGACUUUCUUUCCAGCCAAACAAUAAAGCUUUUAUAUUUAUUUUUUCUACACAUAGCUAUCUUGUAAUUAGUGAUUUUUUGCUGCAGAAUAGAAAAGAGUGAUUUUUCAGGAAAAAGAGUGGAGAAUUAUAUGUCUAAGAAGCCCUGCUGACAUUACAUUGAUGACAUUUGCUUGUAGAUUGAUUUGUCAUCACUGCUCCUGUUCACAUUAACGUCAGUGUGUCAAUUUAUAUAUUGCAUAUUGAAAAAUAAGCACUGUACAUGAUUUCUCUAGGUAGCUCAUAAACCUAUAAAGGUAGUUACAAUAGUAUUCAAUGAUAUAUAAUCUCUCCAAUUCCAGAAACAAAUCAAGUUACAUUUUUUCUUUCAAAACCCAAAAUGUAUUAUUGCAACAUUAUGUAAUGCUAAACGAGUGGAACACAACUGCAGUACUUUAAUUACUUCGAUUAUAAUUUUAUAAUUUUAUUGAAUUGCAAACUUUGGUUACUGUAGCUUUAAACUCUUAUGACAGGUUAUUAGUUGCAGGAAGAAAAUAAGUCACUGAAGUUUUGUAUUAAGUCUACAAUUCUAAUUAAGGAUAGUGCAGAGUUGCAUGCAGAAUUUAGAGUUGAAUUAAAUACAGCAGAAAUAGUUUCCAAAGUUUGUAUGCAGAUUUAGUGUUGAAUUAAAUACAGCAGAAAUAGUUUCCAAAGUUUGUAUGCAGAUUUAGUGUUGAAUUAAAUGCAGCAGAAAUAGCUUCCAGAGUUUGUAUGCAGAUUUAGUAUUAAUUGCAGAGGAAAUAGUUUCAAGAGUGUUUAACAAUGGUUAGCUUAUAAUUGCAACUGAGAAGUACUUAGCUUAAUAGUAGUAGUUCCAGAGAACUGGGGAGAUCAAUUUAAGCAGUCUUUUAGGAGAGAGAGUAGAAGUCCAUUAAACAGUCCGGGUCGAGGAGUGGAGAAGGCGGGUAGUCGUUCACAGAGCGGGUUCGGUACACGGAAAAGCUUAUAAUGUAAUCGGGUAGCCGGUCAGAGAUACACAGCAAACUUGUUCAAUAAUCCAGCGCUUUGAAUCUGGCGCGGUCUUCCUAUGUAGCGUGGGAAGACCGCGUCAGAGAAGGGGCGGGGCAAAGCGCCGUCAACCCGGAAGUGGCUUAAUUCGGCGAAACCCGGCAGGUCUAACCUGACACAUUAUAUCCUCCCAACAUCAGCACAGAAGAUGUUCUGAUUAAAAUGAAUUUAAAAAUAUAUUUUUAUUUUUAAAUUUUUUUCUAUUUCAUUAAACAUUGUAUGAAUCUGUUUUAUAAUUUCUUUCAUCAAAGAAGUAUGUUCUUUUUGACAACUGAAAUGGGAAAAGUAAAAGAAGAUCAAAGCUAAUCGUUUAAAGAGUCAAUAUGCGCAGGGUUUUUGCAGUGAACCCGUCUGCUGCCAGAGGUGUAAUUGCUAAAUCAUUAGCUAGCCUGCAACCAGAUUCCUGAAUGGCUAAUGUGAAACCUGUACAAUUUCGGCAUCUGAUGCCACCACAAACAAUGUGCUGAAAUUUGACGGUCAGUGGUAGCACAGUCCUCUUUUCCAUGCCACCCAUGUCCUCCGUUCAGCCCACCCUCCCUGACUCCCACCCUACCCCCUUCCAGCAUGGGAGAGUGACAUCAGCCAUGGAUGAUUGGGCUGCAGGAGGAACUUGGCCUCGGUGUUGGCUCAAGGUGAGUUUUAGAUGUAAUUUUAUUUUUUUGGAUGGCAGGGGGAGUAGACCAGUAUAGCAAAGGUUACUCUAACCAAAACCAGUGUUUUAUGAAAAUCCUAUAUAUAAAUCAUUUUGUUGAAACACAUUGUAAAGUUUAUUUAUCACCAGUUAUACCAUAACCACCACAGUGUACCCUAAGCCCCUCCCCCCUAUAAAUUUUACAGCAGUGUGAUUGUACCUGUGGUCCUCCAGGGACCACUUCAUCUCUUCAACGCAGCCUCUAAAUUAGCUGAAAGGUCUCUGUUUGAGUUUGGCAGUGAAGGACUUAGUUUACUGGCUGAAUGUGAUCAGCUGACACUCUCUGCCAAUGAGCUGGCCUUGCUCUUCAGGGCUUAGCUCAGGAGAGCUAAGGGAAGCUUUAAAGCUGGAACUUAAUACUCUUUUGGUAGCUGGGAAUAGUUAGAGAGCAUUCUUAAAUGGUUUGAUUUAGAAUGAACUUGCACUAUAACCACUACAGUGCACCACUAUAGUUAUAACACUGUAGUUUGUAGUAUUCAGGUAAGCACUGGGAUAACCCACUGGACAAUUAGGGAUUGGUAUUAAACAUAGCAGCCAGUUAAAUGGGAGAAAUAUGCAACAUCCAAACAGUGCAAAAAAAAUAAAAAGUUAAAACAAAAUACCUUUCUUGCUUCAUAUUAAAAAGCCUGACAAGGACUGUACAACAGGGGUAAGGCACAACCACGAUGAUGCUUAUGUGUUUCGUGCCUCAAGUAUACUACAUCAGAGACAAUGAAAGAGGUGUAACAUAUAUAUAUAUAUAUAUAUAUAUAUAUAUAUAUAUAUAUAAACUAUAAUUAAAGUAAUCCAACCUGAGAUUAAUUUAACAUGGCAUUCGCCUCAUUCUGUUAUCACACAGUAGAGACUUCUCACAUAAUGCUCUGUACUGUGUGAACUGGGAAAUCCAUCUUUUGGACAUCACACAUAGCAGAAGGAAUCCCUCUGAGUUAGGGUUAACAUUAGCAUUAAGGUAUCUCUAUAGUGUAAAGGUAAUGGCGGGUUAGAGUUCAUGCUGGUUUAGGGUUAAAGUUAGGAACAGUGUAUGGUUAAUAUAAGUAUAAGGUUAGUGUAGAGUCAUAGGCGUGCGCAGCCUUUUGUAUAAGGGUGUGCACCCUAAAGCACAAACACACAUGCUGAGUGUGUGUAUAUAUAUAAAUAUAUAUAUACACACACAUAUACUGCUGUGUGUGUGGGGGGGGGCACUGUGUGUGGGGGGGGGCACUGUGUGUGUGUGAUGGCACUGUGUGUGUAAGGGCGCUGUGUGUGUAAGGGCGCUGUGUGUGUGUCAGGGACCAGGAACCAGACAGAGACAGAACUAGAUGCAAACACACCUUUAUUAAUAAAUAACAAAUAAAUAACAAAAGCAAAGUCCAGGAAUCAAGCAGGGGUCAGUCACCAGAGCGGGUAGUCAGACAAGCCAGGAUCAGGAGCACGGAGAGCAGCGGAGUCAGGAACAAGGCCGGAGUCAGGAACCAGGAGCAAACAGGAAACACAGGAACAAGGAGACUUCUGGGGAACAGGAAACCACGCAAGGGCAAGGAGGUUCUGGGAUUUGCUGCUUAAAUAGGCAGCACUGAUUAGCAGCAGGGUUGAUUACUACUCUCAGGUGAGUAACCGUGGCAACAUGCAAAAGGAGCUGAUAGUAAUUGCAGCUGAAAACUCUUUCACUGACACAGAAAGGGUUGCUGUUUAAAACAGCAAAGAAACCCUGACAGUGUGUAAGGGUGCUGUGUGUAAGGACGCUGUAUGUGUGUCUAACGGUGCUGUGUGUGUGAAGGCGCUGUGUGUGUGUGUAAGGUUGCUGUUAGUGUGUGUGUGUGUAAGGGUGCUGUGUGUGUGAGGGUGCUGUUAGUGUGUGUGUGUAAGGGUGCUGUUAGUGAGUAUGUGUGAGGUUGCUGUGUGUGUAAGGGUGCUAUGUGCGUGAGGGUGCUGUUAGUGUGUGUGUGUAAGGGUGCUAUGUGUGUGAGGGUGCUGUGUGUGUAUGUGUGAGGGUGCUGUGUGUGUAAGUGUGCUGUGUGUGUGAGGGUGCUGUUAGUGUGUGUGUGUGUAAGGGUUUGUGUGUUGUAUGUGUGUAGAUGUUGUGUGUGUAAGGGUGCUGUGUGUGAGGGUGAGGGUGCUGUUAGUGUGUGUGUGUAAGGGUUUGUGUGCUGUAUGUGUGUAGAUGCUGUGUGUGGGGGGUGCUGUAUGUGGGUGCUGUAUGAUUGUGUGUAUUAUGUGGGGGCCGUUUAGUAAUUAUCCCCUUAUGCCUGGGAGGGGGGAUCCUUUCUGCUGCUUCCAUCCCUGGUGGUCCAGUGGAGAGUGAACUCUAGCCUGCGGGGCUAGAGUUCACUCUCGCGAGAUCUGAGUGUUGCCGCGGCAAUGCUCAGAAUCCCGCGAGAGGAACCUGGCGGAGCUGCCGGCAAUAGCUCCCCGGGUCCUCUCCUGCCUCCCUCCCUGCCUGUGGGUGGGUGGGGAGGGAGGCUGAGAGCAGAACUGGUGCUCGGAUAGCGCUGGCUCUGCAUGAGAUCUCCCCUGCUGGUCUCAAUACAUAGGCGUGCCGCAGGGAUUAGGGUGUGCCCAGGCACACCCGGCACACCCCGUGCGCACGCCUAUGUGUAGAGUUGAUGUUAGUGUAUUGUAAAUGUUAAAGCUGGGUUAGAGCUGAUUCUGCUUUAGCAUUAGGGAAGUGUAGGGUUUAGGUUAGGGUUUUGUAUGGUUAUAGUUAGUGUAAGCAUAGUGUUAGGGGUAGAGUUGGUUUAGGCUUAGGGUAGUGUAGGGUUAAGGUUAGGGUUGUGUAUGGUUAUAGUUAGUGUAAGCAUAGUGUUAGGGGUAGAGUUGGUUUAGGGUUAGGGUAGUGUAGGGUUAAGGUUAGAAUUGUGUAUGGUUAUAGUUGUGUAAGUGUUAGGGGUAGAGUUGGUUUAGGGUUGUGUAUGGUUAUAGUUGUGUAAGUGUUAGGGGUAGAGUUGGUUUGGGGUUAAGGUUAGGGUUGUGUAUGGUUAUAAUUAGUGUAAGCAUAGAGUUAGGGGUAGAGUUGGUUUAGGGUUAGGGUAGUGUAGGGUUAAAGUUAGGGUUGUGUAUUUUAUAGCUAGUGUAAGCAUAGUGUUAAGGGUAGAGUUGGUUUAGGGUUAGGGUAGUGUAGGGUUAAGGUUAGAGUUGUGUAUGGUUAUAGUUAGUGUAAGCAUAGUGUUAGGGGUAGAGUUGGUUUAGGGUUAGGGUAGUGUAGGGUUAAAGUUAGGGUUGUGUAUUUUAUAGCUAGUGUAAGCAUAGUGUUAAGGGUAGAGUUGGUUUAGGGUUAGGGUAGUGUAGGGUUAAGGUUAGAGUUGUGUAUGGUUAUAGUUAGUGUAAGCAUAGUGUUAGGGGUAGAGUUGGUUUUGUUUUUAGUGUUAGGAUAGUGUAGGAUUAAGGUUAGGGUUGUGUAUGGUUAUAGUUGUGUAAGUGUUAGGGGUAGAGUUGGUUUAGGGUAGUGUAGGGUUAAGGUUAGGGUUGUGUAUGGUUAUAGUCGUAUAAGUGUUAGGGGUAAAGUUGCUUUAAGGUUAAGGUUAGGGUUGUGUAUGGUUAUAUUUAGUAUAAGCAUAGUGUUAGAGGUAGAGUUGGUUUAGGGUUAGGGUAGUGUGGGGUAAAGGUUAGGGUUGUGUAUGGUUAUAGUUGUGUAAGUGUUAGGGGUAGAGUUGGUUUAGGGUUAGGGUAGUGUAGGGUUAGGGUUGUGUAUGGUUAUAAUUAGUGUAAGCAUAGUGUUAGGGGUAGAGUUGAUAGUGUAGGGUUAGGGUAGAGUUGGUUAAGGGUUAGGGUAGUGUAGGGUUAAGGUUAGGGUUGUGUAUGGUUAUAGUUAUAGCUAGUGUAAGCAUAGUGUUAAGGGUAGAGUUGGUUUAGGGUUAGGGUAGAAAGCCAUUUCUGUCCUUUAGGUGCACCCAUAUAAAAUAUGCAUUAUAUUUUAAAAGAACCUUUUAAAUUAUGGAAUAAACGCAUAGCACACGUUCUAGGUUUUAUUUUGGUCCAGCAGUUGAUCAGUUGCCUUUGUUCUCCAGGGGUUAACCUCUACAUGGCAGAGACUUCAGUAUUGAGACUGCAUCGGAUCUAUACACCAAAACCACAUCAUUGAGCUAAAGCUGGUUCGGUGCUCUUAGCAUCGAAACCUAUGUAUUAAUAUUUUGGAUGGAAAUAGUUUCAUUAUUUCUGAUUUAAUUUGAUGUUUUCAUUUUAACAUUUAGUUUAAUUUCUUAUAUGAUUUCACAUGUGCCAUUAGACAAAACUGUGUAGAAAUGAUCUGCUGUUUUAAGUUACAGUUUUCAAAGGAGCAUUAGGCACAACUCAUGUAUUACAGAGAAGAGGGCUCUUUGAACUGGAUGGAGCUAUUAAAUGUGAAGCUGGCCGAAGUUCUCUCAUUUACAUUGGCUAUGGAUGCUAUUGUGGACUUGGAGGCCAUGGAAUGCCAAAGGACAACAUAGACUGGUAUGUAGCUUAUAUGCAUAUCGAUAAAAUAAAUAAAGAUGUAUCUAUAAGGGUUACUCAUUAAAGUCAGAAUUGACAUGAAGUCAGCUAUAUUUCCAUUUUUCCUACUUUUGCCUAAAUUUGAAAUUCACUUUAAAUUCACUUUGCAUUUCUGACAAUUCUCAAUUUAGUAAAUAACCCGGGAUAUGUUUAAAUUUAAAAUGAAAAUAUAAAAUACGAUUGAAAUUCAUAUUUUUUUGUGUUUCAUUACAGCUAUUUGAAAAUAUAUCCUAUAUAUUAGACACAUAUGAUGCAAUGUAAUGAAAUGUUUUAAUUUUCUUGGUCUGAAGCACAAAUUACCAAAGCACCAUGAUCUUUGAUAAAUUCUGGAGAGCUUACAUUUAAAAGAUCUGGAAGAGCCAUCCAUAUAGAGCAAACAUUAGCCAAAAUAUGUAUUGAAAAGAUGUAUUUACAUAUAUUAUUUACCGAUAUGUAUGCAUGUAAUAUUUAACUUGUUAAAUGAUAAAAAUUAUGACAGUUUUCCUUUAAUGUGAUUUUAACUACCAUUUCACUUAUAGCAGGUUUGACUGGAUACACUUGCUUGGGGAUAAAUGUUCUUUUCUCAUUCCUUCUAGGUGCUACUAGUUGUUGAUUGGGUAGAUGUGACGAUCUCUCUACGCUUAUCGGGCUACUUUUUCUCUUAUUUUUGUUUACCGAUUAAUUGACCACCUGCCCCAUCUCUGUUUACGCCAUGUACACCGACUGGGAUCAAAAUUUGACCAGUUUUGCAUUUGUUCUUAAAGGGACACUAUAGUCACCCAGACCACUACAGCUCAAUAAAGUGGUCUGGGUGCCAGGUUUUAACCCUUCAGAUGUAAACAUAGCAGUUUCUGAGAAACUGCUAUGUUUACAUUGCAGGGUUAAUCCCACCUCUAGUGGCUGUCUUUCUGACAGCCGCUAGAGGCACUUCCAGGAUCCAACGUGCAGAACGUCCAUUGGAAAGCAUUGAGAAAUGCUUUCCUAUGGACUGUUUGAAUGCGCGCGCUGCUCUUGCCGCGCAUGCGCAUUCUGCUCCACUCGGGCGCUGACGUCAGUGGGGGAGGAGAGGUCACUUGCGCCGAGGGAGCCCGGCGCUGGAUUAAAGUAACUGAAGGGGUUUUAUCCCCUUCAGCGCCAAGGGAGGGGGACCCUGAGGGUGGGGUGGUCCUAAGGAUGAUAUUGUGUCAGGAGAACGAGUUUGUUUUCCUGACACUAUAGUGAUCCUUUAAAGGGACACUAUAGUCACCAAAACAACUUUAGCUUAGAAAAUCAGUUUUUGUGUAUAGAUCAUGCCUCUGAAGUUACACUGCUUCAUUCACUGCCAUUUAAAUCAUUUUUGUUUCUGUUUAUGCAGCCCUAGCCACAACUCCCCUAACUAUGAUUGACAUAGCCAGCAUAAAAACAAAAUGUUUUCAUUUUAAAUCAGAUGUAGCUUCCAUUGAAAGUUUUUAUCUCCUGCUCUGUAAAUUGAGCUUUAAUUACAUACAUGAGGCUCCUGCAGGGUCUAGCAAGAUAUUAACAGAGCAGGAAAUAAAACAUUCUAAAUUAAACAGCAUUUGCAAUAAAGGAAGUGUAAACAUUAGAUGAUGCUUUGGUGGAAGUGUUAAGGAAGGCUGUGGUAGUCACAUGCAGGGAGGUGUGCCUGCUAUGGUAGUCACAUGCAGGGAGGUGUGCCUAUGACUCAGUAAACAAAUUGAUUGAACUCCUAAAAGGCAGAGAAUUGAGCUGCAGAGGCAUGAUCUAUACACCAAAACUGCUUCAUUAAAGUAAAGUAGUUUUAAUGACUAUAGUGUAGCUAAGUCUUAUAGGCCAUUAGGUUUUGGUGGGUUUUCCACCAAAUGCUUUCCCACGGGGAUCUUAGUUGACGCUGGACUCCGUGAUGAUGAUUUACUAAGUGUGGAAGCGGCCUCUAGUGGCUGUCAAGGAGACAGCCACUAGGGGCUGGAUUAACCCUGCAGUUUCUCUGAAACUGCUAUGUUUUCAGCUGCAGGGUUAAAACUAGCUGGACCUGGCACCCAGACCACUUCAUUCAGUUGAAGUGGUCUGGGUGCCUAUAGUGGUCCUUUAACAUAUCUUUCAAAGCAGCUUUUCCAGCCUUGAGACCUGAUACUGUGCAGAGCCUUUGUGGGGCUUUUAUUUUUAUUGUCUUUUUGUUGUUGUUGUAAUUCAGUUUUUGUACUUCUAAAUACGUCUAAAGGUAAAUGUAAUUUUAUUCCCUUAUCGGUAUUACAUUUAUUGCCCACUCGUAUUAAAGUGAGGGGGCUAGAUUUUUUUUGGGGGGUGGGGGGUGAAGACUAGGGGCUUGAUGAUCUCUAGCCACUGGGUGUGAUUGGCCAUAAUUUGGGGGGUGCAAACCACGCUCCCAUCAUGUUUAAAACCCCACCACAAUCCCAUGGAUGGACAAUAGCAUGUUCAUUUCCAUUUAUUAAUAGACACCACCUACCACCCAUGAGCUGGGGGCCGGAGCUACCCCCCUUUGGUUAUUAAAAAGCCCCCACUAGCCACCCAUGGGGAAUGGGGGGCACAAUUUUCCCGUUAUCAAAUUAAUAGCACCCACCAGCUGCCCAUGGGUGUAGGCUGGGGGUAACACUAGGUUCUCCCUAUUAAUAGGUAGCUCCUACCCCCUGACAGAUUUCAUAUCAACCAAAGUAGAACAAGCUUGCAGCCCCCACCCAGUCCUUUGUCUAUUUACUUAACUCCGUUUAGUAAAUAACAAAAUAACUAUAACAGUAGAGUAUUUCCUGUGUAUUUGACUUGGGGAAUCCCUACAAAUCACUUGCUUCUGGCAGCUAGAUAUUUUUAGAUUUAAAAAAGUUAGUGGUAACUUGCUGUUUCUCAUUAAUGGAACUGAAGGAACAUUUCAAAAUUCCCCAUUCUUUAUUAAAUUUAAAGGGACAGGCCACCUCUAACAUUAUUUAGUGACACUGACUUGACAAAGGGCUACUUAUUUGAAUGCUGUCAGUAUGUGUGAAUAAGGCUGCAUUUCUCUUACACCCCUCCAUGUGUGUGUCUCUUCCUCUCCUAUCUCCACUUGUUUUCAUACCUCAUCUCAUGUGUCCCCCUCCCCACGUAUCUCUCUGACCACCAUCGUCCCCACUUAUAUCUCCUUUAGUUUUGUUUACAAUGCCCUUUUCCCUUGUUUGUAUCUCCAAUCCCAUUAAAUGUAUUUUAAUUCCCUCACCUCUUUCUGUGUCUUUCACUCCCUUUGCUAUAUCGUUGUGUAUCUUUCCUCCCAGCGUUGUAUGGCAGCCAGGCAGGAGAGAAGAGGGAUAGUGUAUCACUGGACCUCGAUGGUAUCAUAGGCCCCCAUGAAAGCCACUUAACCCCAGAGAAGCUACUUUCCAGCAUUAAAAUAAAUCACUGUGCAUUCCACUCUGACCAUCUCAGUUUCUGUCCUGAUUACAGUGAGCACUAUGGAUUCCAUUGAACAGCGCUACGGAAUAAAUAAUAAAAUAAUAAUAUUAAUAUAUCUUUUCUAGUUUAGUCCCACCUAAUGAAGGUGUACUAAUACCAUUAUUCCACAGACUGAUAUUGUUGAUUCUCCGUAAGGACAAGUGCUAGAGCAUACUUGAGUCUAUUUGUUUAAAUCAAAAAUGUUUGUUGUUUUUUUUCUAAAUGAUGACUUGAUUCUUAGACAGUCCCGAUUUCAGGAAUCCGUCUCACUUUCAGAACACAAGGGAAUUGUCCCCAGGCAGCACAGAGCGAAAACAUCAUAAUUGCAGUGAGCACUAGGGCCAUGCCUGGAGCACUUCCGCAACUUCACUCCCCCGUCAGUGGGCAGGCUAAAGUAAUUUUAUGGGUGGACCUGCACAUUAUAGUAGUAGCUAGUGAUGUGGGUCACUUCACUGGUGAUGUUCCCCUCGUUUUUACUCCAUUUCAUUAAAGUGCCUUGUCAUGAAAUAAGCGCUAUAAUAAAACAAGGGUAAGAGGAACUGCCUAAACACCCCUAAAGCACUUCCGCAAGCAUGUGCAUUAGAGGUCUGGAGUAUCUCUUUAAAUAAAAUGAGUGCUUUUUCACAGUCUGGUUCAGUGAAUCAGUAGGAGGGUUAGAGGACACCGUAUAAUUUUAACGUUGAUGGUUAAAUCACUUUACAUUUGUAAUAGUGCUUUUAAAAAAAAAUAAAAAAUCCUAAAAUUUAAUUUUUUUUAAUGAGAAAAAAAACAAAACAGGAAAAUAACCUUUUUUUCAAUGGCUUUAAAAAUUCUGGAAAUUGUACAUUGCUAGUAGGAGAUAAGAAAUUCAAAAUUUUCUAAAUCUAAACUGUACAAUAAAGGAAGGUUUUAAACAGCUCUCUUUACAGGAAUAUGUAGUGAGACGGUGUAAGUCACAUAUAGAGGAGGAGUGACUAGGGCUGCAUAAACAAAGUGAUUUAGCUCCUAAAUAGGAGAGCAUUGAGCAAUUAGUUUCAUGACAGGCGCACAGUCGGAUUUGCCGGCAUAUGCGCUAACCUUACCCAAACCCCCAUUAAAACACGGACACAGGUUAUACUGUUGGAAAUAAUUAAUCCACAGCUUUAUUAAAUUAUUAAUAAAAUAAUUAAGGAAUAACAAAUGGGGUCAUUGCCAACAAAUCUUAUUAAAAUGAACAUCCCCCCAUAUACAUAACAUACCCCUAGCAAUGACCCUACAAUAAUAACAAUAGAUAACAAUCUAAAUAACAUGUUAAUACAGAAACUGGUCGUCCAAAAUGACCACAUUUCCACCAGGUUAAAUUGUAGGGGUGUACCGAGACACUGCUACCCACCAUAUCGAUUGUAGGGGUGUACCAAGACACCACUACCCACCAUAUCCAUUGUAGGGGUGUACCAAGACACCGCUACCCACCAGUUCCAGUGUAGGGUGUACCAAGACACCACCACACCCCCAGGUUCGGAGCCACCAACAGGUUCGAACCUACCAACCACGUGCAACACUGCCCAAUCCACACUAAACUUUAGGAUGCCAACUUUAUCCUCCAUCUACCCUCCGAUUUAACCAGGCCAUUCCCCGCCGCUGUGAAAAAACGGGAAAUCAACUAACCUAACCAAAUACAGGGAGGGUGGGAGGGACAACUGACUGGUAAGCUUAGGUUCAGUUAAAAUGGACACUUCAUAUAAUGGCGGGUAUAAAUACUCCCCUUAUGGCUCCGCACUACCCAGCAUGCUAGCUGUCACUAACUUCCUGUGGCUGCUAUGCCUACCGCCUGGCUCUGUCAAGGCCUAUUCAUGAUCCAUGGGGUACAUUCUUCAGUCAUUUCAAUAACUUCUUUCAUCUCAAGUUGUAAUGGUCUUUAUUGCAGAAAAAACUAACAAAAAUAACGACUAGCAUUUACAACUAUGUAUCUGUGAGUGUAUGUGUUUAUAUUUAUAAGUGGGUGAAUCUGAGGUUAUGCUUUUGUGUCUGUGAGUCUGCAUAUGAAUCUGCUGUUUAGUGUUUGUGAGUAAAUCUGUAAAUAUAUGAAUUUGUGAGUGAUCAGGACUAAAGCAAGGAACUGUCUGGAUCCUCAGCAUGAUUUGCGCUGUGCUCUAUCUAUCAACAUUAAGUCGAAUCUGGACCUCACCUAUAAAAUGAAGGAAAAUCACAGUAGCCACUAAGUAUUGUUUGUCACCAGACACCAGGCGUCAUGUUCAAAAAAAGUUUAGGAAACACUCUGUUAAAUUAUAUUCGUGCUGGAACGGGGGGAGGCCCAGAGUGAAAUUUUCUACACUGACACGUCCUAAAGACAAAGGGGGACUAGCCCUCCCAGACUUCCACCAGUACUACGUGGCCACACACCUACAGAGAAUCAUGGAGUGGUCUAAAGACGGAGUACACAAACUAUGGAAGACGGUGGAAGAGACAGAAGCAGGCAGACCGAUCUCGGGCCUUCCCUGGGGCCGAGACACAACAGAUAGAGGUGACAUGUCCAUAUACACGAGACACACCAUGAGAGUUUGGAGGAGGGCCGCGAAGAAGGGGAAUAUGGCACCGUACCCCUCCCCCCUCCUACCCCUGACACACAACGAGGACUUCCCGCCAGGUAUGGACCCAGGAGUCCUCAAACACAUCCUCCCGGACAGAUCCCCACACCUACACCACCUCCUCCAAGGAGGGAAAUGUAAAACACUAACGGACUUGAUGGGAGAGACGCCCCCGACCUUUAUGCACCGCUUCCGACAUGCCCAACUGACCAAUUACGUCCACUCCCUGCCGCAGGGACCAGCACUGGCCAGAGACCAGACCACGAUAAAAGUGGUCAGCUCACACCCAGACCCGCUCCCACACGGAGUGUCCUUCUUAUAUUCCAUGCUCCAAUCAGAAACCCCGUCCGAGACACCAAUCUUCAUGGGAAAAUGGGAGACAGCCCUGGGUAACACGCUAACAGAAGCAGAAUGGGAAACCAUCUGCUCCCUUACACACCACUGUUCCACUCACAGCAAAACACAGGAAACGGCCUACAAGCUUCUAACACAUUGGUAUAGGACACCACAUCUCCUUCACCACGUAAACCCAGACCACUCCAGACUCUGCUGGAGAUGUGAACGAGAGGUAGGCACCACGAAACACAUCUGGUGGGAUUGGGCGUUGAUCCAACCGUACUGGAAGAGGAUACACAAAAUGCUAGAGAAGUUCGCGGAUGCGCCCCCCCCCCUGGAACCGGCAGCGAUGCUCCUACACCGCACAACAGUUCCCCGCUCCAAAUACAAAAAAUCCAUGACUAUUAGAAUACUUAACGUGGCCAAACAAGUGCUCCCCCAAUUCUGGAAACAAACAGUUACACCCCCACUUUCGAUCUGGUUUAGCCAAAUGGAAGAACUAAGGUCGAUAGAGGAACUGACCAUGACGGCCAACACUACACCCACUACCUACAUGAACAUCUGGACGCACUGGAUUCUAGAGACGGCAAAAGAAGAGUUCCAAUUAGAACUCAGACCUAACACUAACGGACACCACGACACAGACAGAUAACAUUUAAAACACACACCCCAGACGACGCUAGACGGCCGACAGACGAACUGAACGGAACUACCCCCCCCCUUUUCUUUUCUUCCCACCCCGACGCAUUCCCCCCCCCCCUUCGAAAUACCCGAGCAUCAUCAUUGACUGAAUCAUCCCCACCGCACCCAUAGCAAUAAGGGAAACCAUAAUCAGGAACGACUAACAAACACGAGCUGGUACACACGUCCAGACCAGUCCGGGACGUCACCCCAAAGCCAAAACACGCGAACACAUGUGAUAAACCUGGACAGGCCCGGCAAUGGCACGGCUAAUGCAGUAUCCACACACCCAAUAUAAGAGUACCCCCUACAUGCAAUAUCACCAUACCCCUGGUUAAACACGGGAAAUACUGAUAGUAAUAACGGGGGAAAACACAAGCCCACCAUGGACAAUGCCACAUGGCUAAGGACACAGGGCCCUGUGAGACGCCCGUUGACAGAGACCAUAGGGGAAGCCUACAAACACUGACACCUAAUCAAGGACUGAUUAAUCCGGUUCAAGGACGGUUACAUGGCAUAAUGUUCACCCAGUUUAUGAAAACAUUACUUAAUUUAUAUUCCCAAACAAAUGUAAAUACCAGAAAAUGGGGACCUGCGAGUCCUUCUACGAUGGGGCCUGCGAGCAUAACUUGUUACCUUUUAUAAUAACAUACAAUGGAGACCUGCGCGUCUCAUCGAACAUUAAUAUAUGCAAAAUGAAUAAAAAUCAUAUUCACAAAAAAUUAUAUUCGUGCUCCCUCCACUCACACUGCACAUUGUGCAAUGUAACCUCCAAUAAUAGACUGGACACACAAACUUAUUUACCAGCAAUCUGGGAUACUGCAAAGCUUAGACAGUAGUGUCGUUUGCAUUAAAUAUGUUUUUUUAAUAUCAUCAAACAUAUCUCAACAUUCUAAUUUUUAAUUUCUGUUAUAUUAAGGUGCUGCCACAAACAUGACUGCUGCUAUGAUGAGGCAGAAAAACUGGGUUGCAAGACCAAGAUGGGAAGUUAUAAAUGGACUUGUAAAGAUAAUUCUGUACAAUGUG
rnacentral:lncRNA from 1 species